AAAACAGUUAUAGUUUAUUUGAUGGUUGUUCAUUACUUGGAUAACUGUGGUAAUUCUAGAGCUAAUACAUGCAACCAUACCCGACUUCGCAGAAGGGUAGUGUUUAUUAGAUACAGAACCAACCCAGGCUUGCCUGGUACUUUGGUGACUCAUAAUAACUGAAUGGAUCGCAUGCUUCGGCGGCGAUAAAUCAUUCAAGUUUCUGACCUAUCAGCUUCCGACGGUAGGGUAUUGGCCUACCGUGGCAAUGACGGGUAACGGAGAAUUAGGGUUCGAUUCCGGAGAGGGAGCCUGAGAAACGGCUACCACAUCUAAGGAAGGCAGCAGGCGCGCAAAUUACCCAAUUCCGACACGGAGAGGUAGUGACAAGAAAUAACAAUACAGGGCAUUACUGUCUUGUAAUUGGAAUGAGUAAAAUUUAAAUCCCUUUACGAGUAUCAAUUGGAGGGCAAGUCUGGUGCCAGCAGCCGCGGUAAUUCCAGCUCCAAUAGCGUAUAUUAAAGUUGUUGCGGUUAAAAAGCUCGUA
rnacentral:rRNA from 1 species